rnacentral:rRNA from 1 species
UACGUAGGGUGCGAGCGUUUAAUCGGAAUUACUGGGCGUAAAGUGUGCGCAGGCGGCCGCGCAAGUCGAGUGUGAAAGCCCCGAGCUUAACUUGGGAACUGCGCUCGAAACUACGUGGCUGGAGUGUGGCAGAGGAAGGUGGAAUUCCACGUGUAGCGGUGAAAUGCGUAGAGAUGUGGAGGAACACCAAUGGCGAAGGCAGCCUUCUGGGCCAACACUGACGCUCAUGCACGAAAGCGUGGGGAGCAAACAGG